UUGGUGCAGGAAGAACUUCGAAACAUUUGGUAGAGCCACAUGCGAUUGAUCAAAGUAUUCACCCUAAAAGAACAAAAACAAGAAAACCACCCAGAUUGUUAAGAUUUGCUAGAAGCAUGGCUUUGUCAGAAUCCAGGAGACUCUUCCAAUGGAACUUUUUCUACCAGCUCUCCCUUUGAAGAUCUUCAUCCAAAUUUCUACGAUACAAAGGGCUGAGAUUCGAUGUUUAUAGCGAGUUCCUUGGCACAUUGCGCUCAUGGCUUCAUGGAGGGAAAGCUACCAUGCCUGCUCAACUGCUAAGAACCAAAGAUUCCCCUAUGGUAAAGCUGACAUCUUAAAGCAUUGUAGGAGGUGGAAGGAUGUGACUGCACUUGACCUGAACUCGAAUUAGAGUUCCCUAUACAAGUAGUCUUCAGUCAGUUGCCUAAUCCUCGUUGCAUCAUCGCACACCAAACCAGCAGGAGCAGCAGCUGGAGAAGAGUGGUUAUUCCCCUCCACACAGCGCCUGAGAGAUGGCAUCUGAAGCAUCAUGGUCUUCCUGGUACAAGAUAGACAUUGUCGUGCUGGAACAGGCCACCACAGAGGUGAGGGACUGGAGUACACGCAACACCCAGAGCUGGGCCUGUUCAGCCUGGAGAAGAGAAGGCAGAGGGGACAUCUUGUCUACCACCGCCUACAGCCACCUGCUGGGGGGGUACAUGGGAGGUAAGGGCUGGGCAUGGACAGAGAAAGAGGUAACAGACCCACCCUAGUUUGAGCAAGGGAAUUUCCAGCUGGAUGCUGGAGAAAAGUAUUCCUCAAGGGCAUGCUGAGCUUUGGAGCGGGGGCCCAGAGAAAAGGUGGAAUCAUUUUAAUGGUAGUUACUUAAAAUAACUCAUUGUUCUUUCCAGUAGCCCAAACUUUUCUGGUAAUUAUAAAAAUAUAUAGUAAAAAAUUGCCUAACUCCAAACAUGACUCUUUUGAAGAGCUGCAGAGAGAAAAAAAACCAUUGGAAUUCUGUAUUUCUCCAAGAGGCUCUUACCCAUUGACCUCUUAGCAUUUGCUUACUCCUGUAUUCUGCUGGUAAAUAACAUUUGCAAGAUCUCAGUUGCAGACCAGGCUUUCCAUUUGAAAUUAAUAUCUCUGGGGACCAAACAAAAGCAGAAUUAACCCACAGAAGCCCCUGCUCUCUCAGCACAACCAGCGUAGCACACUUCAGUGCAGAGCAGCCCGCACCACCUGGAAUGUUUCAUUGCUCCUCAAGUUUUUUAUAAGUUAUUCACUUGUUCUCAGGAGAAUAUUUUGGGGCAGUCAUCAGGCUUGUAUUUUGUGUGAUUAACUCUUUGACAUUUGAAUUAUUGUGUAGUAAGUAAUACUGGCACCAGAAAGAAAAGAAAAAAAGUAGUAAAAGUUAAAGAACACUAGCAGCGCAGCUAGCUGCAGGUGGCUCCUUUGGUUCUCUCCCAGCUGUGUCACAGACGAGGUUCACCUGAGCUCUCCCUCCCCAGCCAGCCCUCCAGAAGCAGCCUGAGGCCAUCCCCAGACAUGGUGUUUGGUAUCUCAGUCAGCUUUGUGCAUCUGAGGCUAUCGCAGAAGGGGAAGGGGAUCGGGAUGGGGAUGAGUUGGAAGUCAGGCAUAUGGCUGGGUGCUUGCUUGGAACCCAGCACAGACCCCUGUGUGCUGUGGUGAGCACUGGGCCCAGCACUGCCCCCAGCACUGCCCCACCCAACUGCACAGCUGCAGGCAAUUGGGCUUGAUGGCUGCAGGGAUAGGGGCACAGCAGCUUCCUCAGCAGGACAGAGCAGGGCUGGUCUUGGUGGAAGAGAGAUGGCUGAAGGCUGUGGCUCUUGAGGAUCAGCAUCUAAAAGUGCCAUGGUGUUGGCUUGGGCCAUAAGGUGGUUUUCAGCACCAGUGUCAGAAAACAAACCUAUAGACACUCAGUAGGCAUGAACCUGAGGCUACCGGAAUGGUCAAUGGCACGCAUCAGCCUGCGGGUAUCAUUUGCCAUCUGUCACUGAGCUUCAUCACGCACGAGAAGCAGGGUUGUUUCCUGGAUUUUGAACUUGCACUUGCAUCCCCUCUGCUGGAAUGUCCCUACCGAUAGGCAGCAUCCAAGUGGCUGUUCCUGAAGUAACUUUUCUUCAAGGACUUCUGAGAGGGUAGAGCCCAAGCGCAUCACGCUUGUGCAGUCUUCCUCUGUAUGGACUUGUUGGAGCACUGUUGGCUGCCCCGUGGAGCCUGGGACACUGUCGCACUGUCGCAUGCUAUACGCUAUUCUAUAGCUAAUGCCAACUGCAGCCCCAUGUGCUCCACGCUAAUCCCUUCCCCCUCAUGCAUUAUUUCCUAGCGCGGCAUUAGCAAACUGCACGCUGAUCCGCUGUUACUUCAUGGAUUUAGAACAUAAUCUGCGGGCCCACGAUGAUGUAAAACAGCAACUAUUGGUUUAAGUACGGGCGGCGCCAUCCUGCCUGCGCGGCGCUGGGGCUGGGCGGCGUGCCAGCCUGCCUGCUGCCAUGUGGCUGCGAGCGGAGCGUGCUGCGCGCCGAGCAAAGCCCGGCGCAAUCAAGCAGAAACGAUGACAGACGGGAAGAGGCUGGUAUAUGGGCUGCGCUGUUUGGCCAUAACAUCGGCUCCGGAGACGAUACUGUCUGGAGGGCUAAGAGUUUCUUUCCACACUCCUGCCUUGUGCCUGCAGCUGCCCCUCUUGGGGCAGGCAAGAAGGAAGGGGCGUUUGGGAGGUCUUCCAGGGGCUCGUCAGAGCGCCUUAUAUGAAAGUUCUGAGUUAAUGUCUUUAUACCUGUUCUCUUGUUUCAAGCCUUGUCAAAUAACACUGGACUGAAUGCGUUUCUUCUUGCUUUGCUUCCCUCCUCUUCGAGCAGCAGAAAUGCUGCGUGCCUGCCUCUGACACUGCCCCUCUCACCUCAGUGGGUUUUCAAAGGGACAGGUUUGCACUACUCCUUUGGAAGCAUCUGCCUACACGCUAAAUCAUAACACAGCUCGGAGUAUUACCAUGUGGAAAAGGUGGGAGACAAGGGGUGCCUAUGAAUACCGUUAGUACUAAUAAGCAUGGCACUAAUGCAGCCAAAAAUAUGGUGAAUGUGUUCAUCCACCUUUAAUGUGUGUGAUGUGCUGAUUCUGUGAGAAUGUGUGAAGCCGUGAGCUGUAUGAACGCGGAUACCAUUCUGCUUAGUGCAUUACUUCUCCUCCUGUGUGUAGAGAACAGCCCAAGAUGUGUCAUAACUUGAAUGUUAAUAUCUUGCUGUGGCAAAGCAAUCUUGUCACCAGCUCUAAAGUCAGGCUUUUAAAAAGCAGUUAAAAAACAAACAAACAUAAUCUCUGUCCUAGAAAUGGGCGUUUAUUAGCAAAGUAGGCACCUUUUCAACUGAACUUCAGCUCCUUAUCAGCCUGGAGGUACUUCUCUGCCCCCACCCACCCAGCCAUGGCUGACAUGGCCAAAUACUAAGUUCUUCCUGAAACCGUGUGCCUGGAGCAUCUGAGCUGGCUACAGCAUGGCUAUGCUGCAGGUGAGGUACCCGACCUGAUUUUUAUGUGGUCGGCCCAGGUUUCUUGCUAAAGCUGCUGCCUUCCCAAGGGGCGGAAGCAAGCCCUGUGGGUGGAGAUUUGCAGUCCUGUUUCAUUUCCAGGACACAGAGAUGAUUCUUGACUUUUCCUCACCACAUGCUGUAGUCUGUAACUGAUUGAGUUAGGAGGUGAGAUGAAUAAUAAACAAAGGCAAUUUAUUUAGCUACAGAUAAUUAAACACGACUCUCUAAUUUCUACCUGAGCUGCCUUUUAGGAUGGGUGAGAGCAAGGUGGUUUCCCAUGUUGGCUGUCCAGGUGUGCUCUUCCUCUCCCUGCAGGCAGUAGCAGGCAAUAGAUGCCUGCCCUGUUCAUGAUGGGUCUCCAGCCUCAUUUAUGGAGUCCAGUGGGGUUAGCUCCGAGUGUAUGCAAUAGGUUUGGCAAAGUAGGAAGUGAGACAGUGUAAAGCAACACAUACUGUCUCUUUGGUGUAGAGUCACCCCUCUUGUCCCCAUUAUCUGAGCUGAAGGCAGCCAUAGGGUUCAUGCAGGUUGCUCUGAUGAAGGUGCUUCCCACCAAACUGCCCUAUAUACGUUAUUUCAGCCUGAGAAAUAUGAGCUUUGCUUCUGACUUAUUGGGAAAGGUGGGGAGGUGUACAAUUGGGAGUUAAGUCAGAAAGAGAAGAUGCAUGAAAUGAUGGAAUUCCAUGGGCAGAAGGAUUGUGUCACUCUGAACUUCAUACAUUUUCAUCAGUAUCAUAAUAUUAAUGUGGUUUGAUUCUCCACCUCUCCCCCCCCCCCCCCCCCCAUGCCUUAUACACUUGAUAACGAGAUGUUUGUUCCACCAACAACAGCAGUGUUAACUGAGGGUACGGCAUUACUCACAGCAGAAACAUGGCUGUUAUGUGCAAACUGUGUUCUGCCAAGGUCAGUUUGUGGGGGCUGUAGUGAAACUGUUUCCUAAACUGUGAACAUGAUCCUGGGUGCUCAGCCUCCUGGAAUGUGUUCUGGUGCCUCCUCCCACAAGCCCCCCAGCAAAACACUGACUUGCCUGGGCUCUUCCUGCCCACAUUGCUCCUGUGUGGCAUGUGCCAAGGUGAGGGUGUCCAAGUGUGUUCUUACUAAUGUAUCACUUGAAGCAGUCUGUAUGUCACCUUUUUGUUGUGUGAAGUGACCCUCUAAGGCCACUUAAUGCCACUUCUUGAUGCUGACUGGGAUGCAGUUGGAUUUCAUGGCACACAAGUCAUUAAUUGGUGAAAACCAUGGAGCUUUAUGUGCUGCUUUUUGAACAACGCAAUCCCUGUCUGUGCAGGAGCAUAGAGCUGUGGGAGGGACUGGGCAUGCAGAUGGCUGCUGUGGUGUGGCAUGGGGGUUGUCUGUGAGCUCAGUUGACCAGAGUGAGCCACAGUGAUGGAGGUGCUGGUCCUUCAUGGCAGGACUUGCCAGGCCUGUCUUAGGUGGCGGUCUUAACAUGAGAUGAGCUAAUCCCUUGGCUAUGGGGCAGGUGAAGCUGGAGAUACGUGCUUAGACUGAAGUGGAAGGAAUUCCACCUGGUGGGUCAGACCCACUUGGAUUCAGGUCUCAUCACUUCCCUGCCUCCUCGCUUUCUUGAAGGCACUCACCCUUUGCCUGUGCUGCAUGAGAUGCUCAUUCGGACUUCACACCUAAGGGAAAUCGGGCUUUGGAAUUUCUGGGCUUUCAAAACAUAGCUGGUAGACCUGAAUCCUGGGAAACUAUGCCCUGGGUGAGGGCCUGGGGAUGAAGCUUUUGUGGUAGUUUAAAUUGGUCGUCUUCCAUUGGUGUGAACAGAUGUGUUCCUUGAGCAGAAGUAGUGGCUCAUUUUAGGCUUGUGAGGAGAAGGUAUUACCCUUACUCCUUCAGCUUGAAGACUCGGGUCUUGGCUUCAGUGUUUCAACUCUUUGAAAACAUGCACAGUGCUGUACAGCUUCCCCUUAAUUUUAUCGGAAUCGGCUGCCUCUACUCUGGGUCAGUCACUGAGAACCAAAACUAGUAUCUGAAUAAACAGCCCAUUCAUUUGAGGACUGUUAUUCCCAGUGCCAGGAUCCAGAACACAACCUGGGCAGCCAGCUAAUGAGAACACCAGAGCUUGUAAGACUGUGGAGGUGGGGCAGAGAAGAAAACAGAACAAACACUUUUUUGUGGCUUGGGGCGAAGGAGAUUCAGCCAAAGGUUAAUUGCUGUCUACCCUAAAAUGCUGUGAAGUAUUGCUGCAUGGUGUCAUACAGCUGCUUCGUUCCAGCGCAGAGGUGUCUGUUUCAGUGGUGGGUGGCAUGAGCCAGUAUACUUUUCUUAGUUGCACGGGGGUGUUGUGAGGUCUCUUGCGACUUCCAAAAAGUCUGCUAAAGCUUUGAUACUGUUUGGGAUGUCACUGCAGCAUGGAAGCAGGCAGUGAGCAAAGCCACCAAGUGAGCAGCCCCUCUGUCCCCUUGCUUCUCCCUUGUUGGAAGAAAUGUGGAAAUAAUUAAGCGGUAGUGUUGUGGUUUAACCCAGCAGCAGCUGAACACCACACGGCCCUUUGCUCACUCCCCCCCACUCUCUUCUUUAAGUGGAUGAGAGAGAGGAUUGGAGGAGAAAAAAAAAAGGUAGUAGGACUCAUAGGUUAAGAUAAAACCUUUGCUAGGACAGAAAAGGAAGACAGAAAUAACAGCAAUGAUAAUAAUAAUUAUAUAUACAAAACAAGUGAAGCACAAAGCAGUUGCUUGCCGACUGAUGCCCAGCCAGUCCCCAAGCAGCAGCUGCCCCCUACCCAACUGCCCUAUUUUCACAGAGUCACAGAACUGUAGGGGUUGGAAGGGACCUCAGCAGAUCGUUUAGUCCAACCCACUGCUAAAGUAGUUUCCCUACAGGUUCCCUACAGUAGGUUGCACAGGAAACAUCUAGGGAGGUUUUGAGUAUCUCCAGAGGAGCAGACUCCACACCUCUCUGGCCAGUUUGUUCCAGUGCUCUUUCAACUUCAAAGUAAAGAAGUUCUUUCUCGUGUUCAGAUGGAACUUCCUGUGUUCCAGUUUGUGCUCACUGCCCAUUGUCCUUUUGGGGGGGCUCUGCUGAAAAGGGCCUGGCCCCAUCCAUUUGACUCCUGCACAUAGUUUUUUUCACAUGAUGCCAUGUGGUAUGGAAUAUCUCUUUGGCCAAUUUAGGUCUGCUGGUUUGGUCCCCUGCCAGCUCCCUUUCACAGUUAUGAAUAGCUGGUGCACUAGCAUCCGUAGUCAAGUCUGCCCCUCGGUUCCAAGCCCAUCUAUGUGUUGCAUCUCUUCCUUGAUGGCCUGAAGUGUCAUGGGCCCACCAAGCCAGAAAUAGUUCACCUCUAUGUUGCCAGUCCAGAUCCACCUGAGCCGCUUCAAUCUUAUCGGCCUGAUCCACCUGCUGGAUGUUCUUCAGUGGCACAACUCGGGUAUGUGAGCAUCUACAUGGCAUACCUUUACAACAUGUUCUCUACCUGGGCAGCAGUAUAUUUCCACAAUGCAGCGGCCCAGAUGGGUUUGCCUCUGCACUGCCAGUUGUUCUGCUUGUAUUGCUGUAGCCACCCCCAAAGGGCAUUUGCCACCAUCCAGGAGUCAGUGCAGAGGUAGAGCACUGGCCCCUUCUCUCAUUCAGCGAUGUCUAAAGCCAGCUGGAUGGCCUUCACUUCUGCGACUUGGCUUGGUUCACCCUUUCCUAGGACUCCAUCCAGCGGCCUUCCACCUCGGAUGCUUUCCCAAGAGGACCCAUCAGUGAACAGGGCAGAUUUCUUCUCAUUCUCUGGCAGUUUAUUAUAUAGCAGAGCCUCUUCAGCACUUGUCACCUCCUUCUCUGGUGAUGCUCUGAAAUCUUUGCCUUUGGGCCGGUCCAUAAUCACUUCCAAGAUUCCUGCACGACUGGGAUUCCCUAUUGGAGCCCAUUGUGUGAUCAGUGCGACCCACUUACUCCACAUAGCACCAGUCGCAGACACAUUAGAGGUGGUAAUCUGCUAUUCCUAAGACUUCUGUCCAUGCAUAACCCCAUCUGCUAUGCAGCUUUCAUACUGCACACCACUCAAAGCAAUACAAUUUUCCCCUGAGUUAGGGCUGUUGUGACAUCUCAGAAGUCCCCUGCUGCUUGGUGGGUCUCUCACGACCCACAUCAGAAUGUUGUUCUAUGUGGGAUUUAAGAUCAUUACCUGCUUUUCCUAGCUAGUUGACUAGCUUAGUUGGUAAUUAGAUUCUGCUGAUUAAGCAGUGCCUGAUCUGGACACAGGAGAGGGAAGGUUUGCUAUGUGCAUAAAUCAGACUGUAGGUGAAGGCAGAUGUUGUAGUAAUUGAACGGUUGUUCCUCUAAUACCAAUGUUCCUAGCUCAGAACUACAAGGCUGAGCUCCAGCUCUGCCAUAAAGCUGCAUGGAUGGGGAGGACAUACUGUUCUGUGGUGGGGGAGGGCUUCCACUCCGCCUGCCCUUGCUCUCAGGGGGUGUGAGCACGCUGCUUUCUGCCAUGGGGUUUGUCCUGGCCCCUUCCAAGAGCCGUGGUAGGAGCUGCCUGCCUGGGGAUGGCUGAGCCCCUCGGGCUGUUGCCACAGCGCCUGGUGCUGUGGGCAGGGAGGCGUUCCUCUGCCUGCAGUGGGGAGUAAUAGUAAGAUUUCUUAGACCUUCUGAGUGUUUUUGUCUAGUCAGGAUAGCAUUACCAACUUUGACUCUAGCAAUCAGCUGCUUCUGAUAAAGUGUCAUAGACUACCGUAUCAAAUAUCGUAACCUUUAGCUCUGUUAUUAGAAGUGUUUUGCAGCAGAGGAUCAGUAUUUUGAUAGUUUUGUAACUGGCGGGAGAUGUUACUUUGAAGAAUAGUCCUUCUGCCCUGGAAUAAUGUGGUCUUAGUGCCUCUUACAGUGGCUGAAACUCUACCUUGAACAAAGCAGUACAAACGUUGCCUAGCAGAACUCCAGCUUGGUAACAAUGCAACACAGCUGGUUUUUUUCUCUGGUCUUGUAAGCUCUUUUCUGUUGAAACUGGGUGGUAAUACAGGAUCCACCUGGCCUACCUCUGUACUGCUCACUUCUGCUCAAGCAAGCGCUCGUUAAAUUAACACAGGCUCUUGACAGCCCAUUUUCAUGCCCAGCUCAGGUAAGACAGCUUUUUGCUCUGUGAUCCUUAUGCUGGGCGACAGGAUGCUCUGGGAGAGCCCGGGGGGUUGGAGCCGUGUCUCUUCCCAUCUCCAUCACACACAGCUGCCUGCAGCGCUGCGCCUGCUGGUUCCACCCGUGUGCGGGCGGCCAAGUGCGGAUUUGCCUUCUGGCCUCGCAGAAGGAGCUGGGGCUCUCUUGGCGGUGGCAUGAGUGGACACUGAAUUUGCAGUGGGACUUCAGAGGAGGGUGGGUUGUAACAAUCAGUUCUGUGACUCUACGGCCACCACGUUAGCUGGGUUGAAUCUCAUCGCUCAGCAAGCAGAGGUGUGCUUUGAAGUGAGUAGUAGCGGUUUUGUGCGACAGGACUUGUUCUGUAUUCCCAAACUGAACAUGAAGUGCCAUCACCGGUGUCCUGGAUCUUAGCAGGGAACCAUGUGAGAAACUUGAAGGGCUGUGAGAGCUCCAAAGUAGCUGUGGACUUUUACAGACAUUUCAUGGGAAACAAAUCUUUACGUGUCCUAAUAGUGUUAAAUUCACUUCCUACAAACCUGCUUUCAACUGCUUGGCUAACUCAUACUGGAAGUAAUUGGACACACCUAACCAAAAUUGCAGUGGAAUUUUGCUAUGAACUGCAGUGUUCCCUUAGGUCACCCAUCUUCCCUGUUAGAUAACUCUCUUGAAACAGCAGUUCGGUAACAACUCCUCCCUUUUAAGCUUUAAAGAUACUGGCCAUUCUCUGAAGCUCCCGUAAAGUAAUGUUUGUGCAUUUUGUAAUCCCUCAUGUAACCCCAGGCUGCAGCUCAGGACACACUCAGAGCUCUCUCUGGGGCUGUUACCCAUGACAUGGGCUUCAGAGCCUCUGCUUCUCUUCUGGGGGAGGCCAGGGGGCUAACGAGGACCUGCCUGGUUUGACUGCUGUCCUUUGGUACAGAGACCAUGGUGGUCAGCUCAUGCUUCUUCUCCUUCCAUUGUGUCCCGAGGUGUAGUGUUUCUGGGCAGUAGCGGUACUUAGCUAUUCCAGUUGCAGCUCUUGUCCUGGUAUGCCUGCAGCAUGGACGGCACUGCCAAUAGGGUUCUGUUCUCUCACCCUUUUCAAAGGGUUUGCUGAAUACUGACUUUGUGCUUUGAGGGGCCUCAAUCGUGUACUGUUUACCAGCCUUCUGCGAGGCUGUGAUGAUGUGUCAGAGCCUCUGAGUAUCUCUGAAGCCCAGAAGGCUCAGUAGAGCUUCUGAAGUGAGCUUCUGCUGUCACCCAGGUAGCACGGGGAGUGCCUGGCCUGCAUGGUGGCUGUCUGUUAGCUUGUCCCAAGCUGUAAGGGGAUGUGGCUCUGCUUUGGGGUCCUUCUAGUUUGCAAGAGACCUAACAGGAGAGUGCCAGUCUGUUCCCUGAUUAUUUUAAAAAGCCAGUCAAGAUCGUGUUCCCCUUCUGUAUGGUCUGUGUACCCCCUGAAUGUUACAGAUAACGGUGGUUUCCCAGUUCUGGAGGCAGCUCGUGCAGGGCUGAGAGCUGGCUGAAGGAGCUUCUAGUCUGGAGAAUCAAACUCCUGAGAAGGAAGCAGAUGCCUAAACUCGCCUCUUAAUGGAGAAACCAGUUUAACCUAUAGGUGUCUGUCAUUCUUUCUGUGAAGAGAUUUUUCCUAAUAUCCAAACUGGACAUCUCCUGGCCCAACUUGAGGCUGUUCCCUCUCAUCCUAUUGCUGUUACUGGGGAGAAGAGGCUGACCCACACCUUGGUACAACCUCCUUUCCUGCACCUUUAAGACCUCCUUCUUGAGGAGUGUCUGGCCUUCCUGGGCCCCUUUCAAGACUGACUCUCAAGGGAUUCUCCAAACCAGUGUCCUGAACAGUUCAAAGUCUGCCCUGCAGAAGUCCAGGGUAGCCUCCCCUGUUGUUUCCCAGGGUGAGACUUUGGGGAUCGAGUUUUGUUACCUCCCUCAUUAGAAGUUUGCACUUAAAAUUGUCCUGCUUAGAAAGAGAAAGGAGAAAAUGAGGGCAAUAAGCAGAAGUGGUGAAACCUCAACUUCGGGCUAUGGGUUUUUUAAUUUGUAUUUAGUUAUUUCAGUGGCUCUUAGGGAAGUGGUUCUUGUCUGGAGCUCUCCUUCUAGAGAAGUUGUGUCUCCCUGCUGCUUGUGUCUAAUUAACAUUCUUGUCUGUUUGACUGCCAUCCUGGAAAACAGGUGUAGAGAUGCUAUAAGUAGCAAGGAGCCUAGUGCUUGCAGGGAGUUCCUCACAAACUCUAAAUUACAGUUUUGCUUCCUGUGCCACGACCUCAGGGCCCUGACCUGCAACUGCAGCAUAUUUUCUGUGACUAACAGCUGUAAUUCCCUAAUUAUCAUGCUCCAUUCUCCUGCUGUGCUGUAGAUUUUGUUACCAAGGGAGCAAACGAAGUUUCCUCAUUCCUUUUCUUGCUCUGCACACUUCCAACUGUUUUAAAUCUGCCAUUUGAUGCAGCCCAUAAAGACAAACGACUAUCUCUUGUUUCAGAUGCCCAUAGUCUCCAGAACAUAUUUUGUAUCCACGUGCUGGGAAGGAGGAGGGCAAAGCAAACCUUCUGGCCUUUCUUUUAGUAGAGGCCGAUGCCUUGCAGCGCUGUUCCCGGGUUCGAGUACCUUUACUAGCUUCGGUGCAAAGUGCUGGACUAAGCAUGGUCUUGCACUUAGCUAGCUGGGUGAGCUCUGCUUCAUUAGACUGACCAGCAGAGCAUUGGAGAUGCUGGGAAAGAAAGGUGCAUGUAAAGCUCUGAAAGCAGGCUGUGUGUGUGUGUGGUGUAACGGGGGAGGCAAAUGUCACUGCCUGACGCAGUAACAGGGCCACUGUGUCACUUACAUUUCAUCCUCUGUGUUGGAGGCUGAGGACCAAUGGUUGCUUUGCCAGACAGAAAUGAGAAUACACCUAUGCUAUAAUAAACGCACUGUUUCCUCUCUGGAGGCGUGAGAGGCCUUGCAGAGGGAUCUAGAUUAGAGCACUGGACAAUCAGCAGUGGCAUACAGUCCAACAAAGGUGAGUGCUGGGUGCUGCACCUGCAACAGGGCAAUGCCAGACACAGGGCAGAUGAGGGACAAGUGGCUGAAGAGCAGCUCGGCAGGAAGGGACCUGGGGCUGCUGGGGGCAGCGGUCUCAAUGUGAGCUGGAAAUGUGCUCUGGCAGCCAAGAGAGAAAGCUGCUUUUUGGGGUGCACUGAACACAGUGUAGCUGUCUGGUCAAAAGGUGAUUGAUUCUUCUGCUGUAUUUAGUGUUUGUGUGGCCUCACCUUGGCUAUGGUGUGCAGUUCUGGUCUCAAAACUAUAGAAAGGAUGUUAAGGUCCGUGAAAGCAUCCCAAUGCUUUCCUGGGAGGAGAGGCUGAGCACAGGUGGGUGGGCUGUCUGUGGACUGGAGGAGACUGAGAGACUGCUCCCUACGACUUUGUGAGGAGGUGCCAGGCUGUCUUCCUGGGAACCGAUGGCUGGAUGCACAGGAGCCCUGAGGAGGGGCAGAGCAGACAUAAAGAAACAUUUCUUUACCACGAUGGUGGUCAAAUGCCCUCACUGUGCUUUAAUUUUUGGUUAGCCCUGAAGUGGUCAGACAGUUGGACUGGAAGACCUUUGGAAGGUCUCUUCCAACUGAGCUAUUCUAAUCUAAUCUCUGUUCUAAAUAAUAAAUCUGCUGCAUAUGCCUUAGGCUUCACUGAUGUCUGUCAUCCAGGAGAAGGAUGCUCGCAGGCUGGCUUCUGUUCCAGAGCCCUCAUCAGCCUGGAUGUGAUGAGCCCCCAGGGCCAUGCCCAAGACACCUGUACAACUUGUUUUUGCCCUUGGUAGGUGUGAUGAACAGGGAACCUUUCUAGGGGUGUGGCCUCCAGCAAAUGGUAUUUUGCAUCUUGCUCUAGAAAUACUAAGUAAGUUAAGUUGUGACAGAAACAUCACAAAAAUGACGCAGGAUAAAAACUGCUGACUGAUUUAGGUGGAUUUGCUGCUUGACUCUGGUCAUUAAGCCAAGAUGGAGGAAGUUGUUGCUUCCUCUGGCCUUUCUUUGGCUCUUGUGGCAGUUACAUUUUCAAUAACUGAGCCUUGAAAACAUGAUACUGGGGGUGAGGGGACAAUGCACUGUUCGUUCUCAAAAAGACAAUGUCAGAUUAAAUGUUCCUGUGCGAAGGAAGAACUUUCUAGACAAUAAAACAGUAGCAUUGAACCGAGACUCUCCAUCACAGUUUUACCUUCAGCCCUCCCUCAGGGCUUUGUGCAUGAGCUGGAGAGCAGGGCUCAAGCACACACUCCUGAGGGGUGCACAGCACAGGGUACUAGUGGAAAGAGCUAGCCACCUCAAAGAUGCUUCUGUUCAAUUUAUGGGACUCUGAUCUUAAACACCUGUGUACAGUACUGGGUACAUGUUACUUACCCAAAGAGCUCUAUGUUAACAUACCUUAAACUCCAGGUUAAAUGCAAUACUGAGUCAAACUUCGUAUGUUACAGAAACUCAAGUUAUGGUGGUGGUAGCUUAGCAGGUGUUGGGAUUUCAUGGCACCGUGGUGUGAUGCGUUGUAAGAUGCUGUGAUGAAGUAAUUGUCACGUAUGUGCUAGAUACAAUGUCAGAACAAAACUGCAGGUUUUGAUGUGAUUUCUUUAUUGUUAGAAAAAAGGGUUUGGCAACUUCUGUAGAUGAAAUUCAGUUUUACUUUGGUCGCUCUAAAAAUAUUCUAUGACUCUAUAAACAGUUGAGUAUAAAAAGCUGUGCCCCUUGUACAAGGCAUGUGCAGCAGGUGAGUGCAGUGUAUGUGGAAGUAAAAUUCUCAGUUGCAAUGUCUAGUAUAAGCUGUGGGCAGCAUCUCCUUGGAAUACAGUCUAAAGGAAGCAGCACAUUGCAUCCUCAUCUGCAGCGGUUUGAUUUUAUAACUGUUCUGAGGUUUGGUGGUGUUGCUGAGUGCACCCUUCUAUAGCAGUAAGGCACAAAGGUUGCUGAGAGUGGGGAGUGAGAGGCAGCAGUUUGCAGCGGGUUUGGUACACACCAAUGAAUGGUGUAUCAAGUGGUCUUCACUAAAUAAGCAACCCUUAAUUCGGAAGGUGUGAAGGCCCCUGCAACUAGAAGAAGGGUGCAAAAAAGGGGCAAAGGGCACAAGGAAGAGGCAGGGGGUGCUGAAAGGGGAGAGGAGCAAGGGGUUAUAAAGAGGCAGGGGGUACAAAUAUGCUGCAUAGUGUAUUCGUGUUGAGUUUGUAAAGCAUGUGUUAUUUGUGCUAUGGGUGCUGCGUACCUCACAAGGGGCAGAGCCCUGAGGCGGUACAGAGGUGCUGUGUAUGUCAUGUUUGUGGGGUCUGAAGUAAGGUGUGUGUGGCCGCUGCAGGGCUGUGUGCUGCAUUAACUUCUUUCUUUCAUGUUCUGUCGUCUCCUUCCUGUGGUCUCCGUCCCACUGACGCUGUCCCCUAGGCAGCCCGUGUGUGGAAGAGGCUGGGGCACAGAGCUGCCGGCUCCUGCAGCACCGCAGCGGCUGCCUGGAUCGUUCCAGCAGCCGGAAUGGUGUUUACUGUCCCUGAGCAGCUGGCUGCUUGGCGCUGGCAUCCGCGCGCUCUGGGCGUGCUCUGACAGAUUUCAUCCAGCUCGCUCCUGACUGGUGCAGUGUGUCGUCAUAUCCUCGCUGCAGCUGUCUGGGGAUGAAGAAGCCCCUGUUGGGGUGCCAGCCAGUCUGACUGCUUUGCAGCAGGAGGCUGCCAGGAUCCCUGGUGGCUUUUUGGAAGACGGGACUUAGGUCGUGUGUACCACACAGCAAAGUGGAGCUGAGAGUUCUCGGUGGAUUUGGUAAGGCCCUAUCCUGCACUAUGUGGCUAUUGACCCUCUGGUUCCUACAACACAGGAAUAGCUGAUCAA